ACGAACGCUGGCGGCGCGCUUAACACAUGCAAGUCGAACGGGAAGGCCUGCUUUCCCUUGUGGAUUGCGGGUACUCGAGUGGCGAACGGGUGAGUAACACGUGAGUGAUCUGCCCCCAACUUGGGUAUAAGCCUGGGAAACUGGGUCUAAUUCCCGAUAGGACUGCAGGGUGGUGCCUGUGGUGGAAAACGAUUUUCUAGUGGUUGGGGAUGAGCUCGCGGCCUAUCAGCUUGUUGGUGGGGUAAUGGCCUACCAAGGCGGCGACGGGUAGCCGGCCUGAGAGGGUGGACGGCCACAUUGGGACUGAGAUACGGCCCAGACUCCUACGGGAGGCAGCAGUGGGGAAUAUUGCACAAUGGGCGGAAGCCUGAUGCAGCGACGCCGCGUGGGGGAUGACGGCCUUCGGGUUGUAAACUCCUUUCGACCGCGAGGAAGCCACCUGGUUGGAAGGGUGGUGACGGUAGUGGUAGAAGAAGCACCGGCUAACUACGUG
rnacentral:rRNA from 1 species